rnacentral:rRNA from 1 species
GAUGAACGCUGGCGGCGUGCCUAAUACAUGCAAGUCGAGCGAACGGACGAGAAGCUUGCUUCUCUGAUGUUAGCGGCGGACGGGUGAGUAACACGUGGAUAACCUACCUAUAAGACUGGGAUAACUUCGGGAAACCGGAGCUAAUACCGGAUAAUAUUUUGAACCGCAUGGUUCAAAAGUGAAAGACGGUCUUGCUGUCACUUAUAGAUGGAUCCGCGCUGCAUUAGCUAGUUGGUAAGGUAACGGCUUACCAAGGCAACGAUGCAUAGCCGACCUGAGAGGGUGGUCGGGCCAACUGGAACUGGGAACCGGUCCCAACCCCUAACGGAGGGAAGAGUUAGGGAACCUUCGGCAAGGGCCGAAGGCCUGCCGAGGCACCGCGGGGUAGGGAUUGAGGGUUUCGGAUCGUAAAACUCUGUUAUUAGGGAAGAACAUAUGUGUAAGUAACUGUGCACAUCUUGACGGUACCUAAUCAGAAAGCCACGGCUAACUACGUG